AAGUCGAACGAUGAAUCCUAGCUUGCUAGGAUGGAUUAGUGGCGCACGGGUGAGUAAUAUAUAGUUAAUCUGCCCUACACAGAGGAACAACAGUUGGAAACGGCUGCUAAUACCUCAUACUCCUAUUUGACAUAAGUUAAAUAGGGAAAGUCUUUUCGGUGUAGGAUGAGACUAUAUCGUAUCAGCUAGUUGGUAAGGUAAUGGCUUACCAAGGCUAUGACGCGUAACUGGUCUGAGAGGAUGAUCAGUCACAUUGGAACUGAGACACGGUCCAGACUCCUACGGGAGGCAGCAGUAAGGAAUAUUGCGCAAUGGGGGAAACCCUGACGCAGCAACACCGCGUGGAGGAUGACACUUUUCGGAGCGUAAACUCCUUUUAUCAGGAAAGAAUAAUGACGGUACCUGGUGAAUAAGCACCGGCUAACUCCGUGCCAGCAGCCGCGGUAAUACGGGGGGUGCAAGCGUUACUCGGAAUCACUGGGCGUAAAGGACGCGUAGGCGGAUUAUCAAGUCUUUUGUGAAAUCUAGUGGCUUAACCACUAAACUGCUUAGGAAACUGAUAGUCUAGAGUAGGGGAGAGGUAGAUGGAAUUCUUGGUGUAGGGGUAAACCCGUAGAGAUCAAGAAGAAUACCCAUUGCGAAAGCGAUCUGCUGG
rnacentral:rRNA from 1 species